rnacentral:rRNA from 1 species
AUUGAACGCUGGCGGCAGGCCUAACACAUGCAAGUCGAACGGUAACAGGGAUCAGCUUGCUGAUUCGCUGACGAGUGGCGGACGGGUGAGUAAUGUCUGGGAAACUGCCUGAUGGAGGGGGAUAACUACUGGAAACGGUAGCUAAUACCGCAUAACGUCGCAAGACCAAAGAGGGGGACCUUCGGGCCUCUUGCCAUCGGAUAUGCCCAGAUGGGAUUAGCUAGUAGGUGGGGUAACGGCUCACCUAGGCGACGAUCCCUAGCUGGUCUGAGAGGAUGACCAGCCACACUGGAACUGAGACACGGUCCAGACUCCUACGGGAGGCAGCAGUGGGGAAUAUUGCACAAUGGGUGCAAGCCUGAUGCAGCCAUGCCGCGUGUAUGAAGAAGGCCUUCGGGUUGUAAAGUACUUUCAGCGGGGAGGAAGGGAGUAAAGUUAAUACCUUUGCUCAUUGACGUUACCCGCAGAAGAAGCACCGGCUAACUCCGUG